rnacentral:rRNA from 1 species
CCUACGGGGGACAGCAGUGGGGAAUAUUGGGCAAUGGGCGCAAGCCUGACCCAGCAACGCCGCGUGAAGGAAGAAGGCCCUCGGGUUGUAAACUUCUUUUAUUCGGGACGAAACAAAUGACGGUACCGGAGGAAUAAGCCACGGCUAACUACGUGCCAGCAGCCGCGGUAAUACGUAGGGGGCAAGCGUUAUCCGGAAUUACUGGGUGUAAAGGGAGAGUAGGCGGGAAGGUAAGCUAGAUGUGAAAACCAUGGGCUGAACCUGUGGAUUGCAUAAGAAACUAUCUAGCUAGAGUACAGGAGAGGCAGGCGGAAUUCGUGGUGUAGCGGUGAAAUGCGUAGAUAUUAGGAAGAACACCAGUGGCGAAGGCGGCUUGCUGGACUGAAACUGACGCUGAGGCGCGAAAGCGUGGGGAGCGAACAGGAUUAGAUACCCUAGUAGUC